UACGUAGGGGGCAAGCGUUAUCCGGAUUUACUGGGUGUAAAGGGCGCGUAGGUGGUUCGGUAAGUCAGAGGUGAAAGCCCGGAGCUCAACUCCGGAAUUGCCUUUAAGACUGCAUCGCUCGAAUCAUGGAGAGGUGAGUGGAAUUCCGAGUGUAGAGGUGAAAUUCGUAGAUAUUCGGAAGAACACCAGUGGCGAAGGCGACUCACUGGACAUGUAUUGACGCUGAGGUGCGAAAGCGUGGGGAGCAAACAGG
rnacentral:rRNA from 1 species